UGUGAUGUAGCCCAGUGGAAAAGCAUUUGCCCUGAAUGCAUGAGGCCUGGGUUCCAUUCCCAGUAAAACAA
rnacentral:tRNA from 1 species